ensembl:lncRNA
GAGAGAGCAAAGAUGUUGUAGAAAUAAGAGAGAAAAAACUUUUGCAGCCACUAGGACUCCCCUCUGGAGCUACAUCUUAUUGCUAUUGGUAACUGUAAUCACACAAUUUUGAACACAGCAGUAUUAAAAUAGCUUUCCAUACAAAACAGCAGAGCUCUUGCUUCCCUGUUAAGAAAGUUGAUUAAAGAUUCCGUCCGGCAUCUUUCUCUUGAAAUAAUUAGAUAUGCUCUUAUUUAUAGUGCAUCUUCCAUAAUACGCCCCAUAGUCUCUGACUUCUGUUGCAUUUCAGGAUCAUUUUCAGCCCCAGAUGAGAGAUUACGUGUUCUGCUCCGUGCUGAUUUUUGUCACUAAUUCUACCUUUUGGCCCAGCCUGGCUUCAAAAUGGAAAAGAAAAAACCCAGAUACUAUGAUUUAAAAACAAAACAAAACAAUUUAAGAGAGACUUACAUUGCACUUUAGAGCCCAAGCUCAAACUGCGUUUGGGUUCGCUCUGCGCCCUGUCUGACUGCAUCCUUCAGCAUUAAGCCAGUUUGGGGUUCUUUUUCUUCAGCCUCCUCCAAAACGGUGGCAUUUGGAAUCAAUCUUUUUGCUUUGUUUUGUUUUGUUUUGUUUUGACUUCUAAACUGCACACUCGAGUGAAGCCAGCUCCCGUGCUGCGAGGCUCGCUCUUUUCUUCUGAGAGAUAGGCUGCUCGCCGGCUCUUUCCUUGUGCUAUUCCCCCGCCCCGGGGCAAGCUAUAUUUGAAAUAAUAAUAAUAAUAGCGGAGCCCUUCGCACACAGUGACACAGAAGAAAGCACGCACACCACGAAGAAAAGCAGCCAGCAAGGAGGAAUUACUGAUUUCGACAGGAAUGGAAUUUCUUGCUCACUGCCUCGUUCGGUUUGUCAGACCUCCCACUAUUUGGAUGUCACAAACUGCAAGGAUCCUCAGCUCACUCCACAUACUUACAGUCUCAACAAGGAGGAGGAAAAUACUCUGAGGAACUUCAGUUUCUAAAGAAUUGCAUGUCUUCCUGGACUCAGAAAUUUCA